rnacentral:lncRNA from 1 species
GCCAGGAUUCCCUCCCCCCAUCCACUGUAGUAUCUGCAGUUCCAGACCCCCCUGGACCUUCUUUGGGCCCCAUGGAUGGAGGUGGCUCUAACUGUCCCCCACCAGAGGGGUCGAUCAGUCCCUUCUCUGUAGCCACCUGUGCUCCACAGGUGAGAGUUCCAGGGACAGGCUGAGAAGCUGGCAGUGCCCGGCUGGCCUGCCUGUGUCCUACUCUAGGGGCCAAUUAAGUCUCUAUCCCUAGCUGCGCUGAUUAACAGCUAAUAAGGCAGCAAACACCUGCAGCUAUGGAGGCGAAUUAAGAGCAACAGUCGGCAUAAUACACAACCCGAUAAGUGAGCAAUUAACAACCGGAGAAAGAUUAAUAGAAGCAAUUAUGUCCUACUCGGAGCUCUGUAAAUACGACUGUCAACCACCGGGGAAUUCAGUCCAGUCUCACCUGGCCCCACCCUGGCCAUCGCCUCUG